rnacentral:rRNA from 1 species
UGAACGCUAGCGGCAGGCCUAAUACAUGCAAGUCGAGCGGCAAGUUGGGUAGUAAUACUUGACCUAGAGCGGCGCACGGGUGCGUAACGCGUAUGCAACCUACCUUUUACUGGGGGAUAGCCCGGAGAAAUCUGGAUUAAUACCCCAUAGUACCUAAGGAUCGAUUGGUUUUUAGUUUAAAGAUUUAUCGGUAAAAGAUGGGCAUGCGUCUGAUUAGCUAGUUGGCGGGGUAACGGCCCACCAAGGCGACGAUCAGUAGGGGUUCUGAGAGGAAGGUCCCCACACUGGCACUGAGAUACGGGCCAGACUCCUACGGGAGGCAGCAGUAGGGAAUAUUGGGCAAUGGUCGCAAGACUGACCCAGCCAUGCCGCGUGCAGGAAGACGGCCCUCUGGGUUGUAAACUGCUUUUAUCUGGGAAGAAAAGUCCAUGCGUGGAAAACUUGCCGGUACCAGAUGAAUAAGCACCGGCUAACUCCGCGCCUGCAG